GACAGAGGGUGCAAACGUUGCUCGGAAUUACUGGGCGUAAAGCGCGUGUAGGCGGGCCAACAAGUCGGACGUGAAAUCCCUGAGCUCAACUCAGGAACUGCAUCCGAAACUGUUGGCCUGGAGUGGUGGAGAGGGAAGCAGAAUUCCUGGUGUAGAGGUGAAAUUCGUAGAUAUCAGGAGGAACACCGGUGGCGAAGGCGGCUUCCUGGACACUUACUGACGCUGAGACGCGAAAGCGUGGGGAGCAAACAGG
rnacentral:rRNA from 1 species